rnacentral:rRNA from 1 species
GAGAUGUGGGUAGUCCGCACGAGCGCACCUCACUUUUAGUUGCCAUCAUUAAGUUGGGCACUCUGAAAGAACUGCCAGUGAUAAGCUGGAGGAAGGUGGGGAUGACGUCAAGUCCUCAUGGCCCUUACGUGUUGGGCUACACACGUGCUACAAUGGCAUCUACAACAGGAAGCAAAACGGCAACGUUAAGCAAAUCCCGAAAAGAUGCCUCAGUUCGGAUUGCACUCUGCAACUCGAGUGCAUGAAGCUGGAAUUACUAGUAAUCGUGGAUCAGCGUGCCACGGUGAAUGCGUUCCCGGGUCUUGUACACACCGCCCGUCACACCAUGGGAGUUGGUUCUACCUUAAGGCAAGGUUUUAAACCCUUGACCACGGUAUAGUCAGCGACUGGGGUGAAGUCGUAACAAGGUAGCCGUAGGGGAACCUGCGGCUGGAUUACCUCCUUUCU